AGGAGGGAUGGAGGAAGCUGACUGACACCUCUUGGCGUCGUCCUUGGCCUCCAGACGCACUCCUGCUAAGCCUGCCCUGCCUGUCUGUCCACCCAGCCCGCCCUUCGCGAGGCCGGAGGGAUCAGGCCAUGCUGACCCCAGGAAGCAACCUCAUGGACUCCAGGAUGCUCCUUAGAGACUGGGAAGCCCCCAGCCUCCAGGGAGGGCCACGGGCUGUUUACGUGAAUUCGUCACCGUGAUGUGGAUAGCACCGCUCACUAACGCCAGCUGCUUCUGUGUCUGCUCUGCCCACAGAGAACAAGAAGUGUGCCCUGUGUGGAGGAGGGCGCAUGGAGUUCAUUGAAGUCAAGGCCUGGUCCUCGCGGCUCUUCUCUAACACUUAGCCAAAUCCCAGAACAGCAUACUUCAGGUUGCCCUCAACAAAAGAAGUGUAAAACUCCCCACACCGUGAACAUUUACUUCACUGAAAGAAACUGAAGACCUGAAUCCUUGAGGAGGGGCUGGGGCGAUGGUGGAGGUCCUGCCUCAAGUGCACAGAGGCCUGGGUUCAGUCCCCAGUGAUACACACACACACACAGUACAAAUAAAAAAUAUUCUUUGGAUGUUACUAAGUGAUUAUUGGGAUGGUUCACACAUAUGUAAAAAUCCCUAAAGACCAUUUAACUCUUUAGGAAUUGGGCCUCCAAUUAACAAAGCACCAAUUCUAGCACCUCCAGCUUGGUUAAAGAAAGGCGGGUUCAAGGGAAAGAAUAAGUGUGGCAAGGACUCAGACAUCAGUCUCAUAGUACAGUUCAACCUGUCCCUUCCUGACUCCGUGGGCCAUUGUCCCAAGGCCCAGUAUUCCAGUACCAGAUUGAGCCUGAAGCCCAAAGCCUCCACAUCUAAACCACGGCCCAUGACCUCUCAUGACCUUGGUCAUCCUCUGCAGCCUUUCAGGCUGAAGAAACAAGUUGCUCAAGGCAUCAGAGUCACCUCCACUGGGGGUGGCAUAGUAACUAGCUAGGUUUCUUCUACUGUGACCCACGACCUAACAAGAAGCAACCUGAGCGAGGGAGGGAGGGUUUAUCUUGCCCUGAGGCAGAGGAAGGUGGAUCUCUGUGAGCUGGCUCCAACCUGGUCUACGAAUUGAAUAUGAGGACACCCAGAGAAGGUGGAAUCGUUUUUGAUCUGUUGUCAGUGCCCUACCCGGGACAAGAAAGUCACACGACAACAGUGCACCUUGUUUCUGUAAAUUAUUGCAAUCCCAAUAGCAGUAGUGAUGAGGUUACAGCUGCCAUUCAUUCUGGAAGCAUGAGUGUACAGACAUGGAGGAAAACUCCAAAAAAGAACCACGCAGUACCCACCAGAAGCUACGGCGUACUGCAGGGCCAUCAUCACUAACACAAGUUUGAAUGGACAUUUAAAAAAAAAACCCUCUAUUGCCAGGCGAUG